rnacentral:rRNA from 1 species
UACGUAGGGGGGCAAGCGUUGUCCGGAUUUAUUGGGCGUAAAGAGCUCGUAGGUGGUUCGGUAAGUCGGAUGUGAAAUCUCCAGGCUCAACCUGGAGGGGUCAUUCGAUACUGCCGUGACUAGAGUUCGGUAGGGGAGUGUGGAAUUCCUGGUGUGCGGUGAAAUGCGCAGAUAUCAGGAGGAACACCGGUGGCGAAGGCGGGUCUCUGGGCCAUAACUGACGCUGAGGCGCGAAAGCGUGGGGAGCAAACGGG